rnacentral:rRNA from 1 species
UUCAAAGGCAAUAACAACAGUCGAUGCCAUGUCCCCCCGUCUCGGAAGCCAAGCAGCUUAGUGCUUGGAUGGGAGACCGCCUGGGAAUACCGGGUGCUGCAG